AUGAGUUGUUUGUUUGUUUAUUCACAGAUUUUUGGAGGGGGCACAGGGUGUUUGUGUGUAGGUGUUUGUAUGUAGGCCAAAGAUCAACCUCUGCACAAUGUCAGUUCUCAGGAGAUCGUCAUGUUGUAUUUUGAUAGAGUCUUCCUCUGGGACCUGGGACACACUGACUGGUCAGCAAGGCCCAUGG
rnacentral:lncRNA from 1 species